ensembl:lncRNA
UCUCUCUCUCUCUCUUUCUGUCUCUCUCUCUCUUUCUGUGUCUCUGUCUCUCUCUGUGUCUCUCUCCCUCUCUCUCUUUCUGUCUCUCUCCCUCUCUCUUUCUGUGUCUCUCUCUCUCUCUCUCCCUCUCUCUCUUUCUGUUUCUCUCCCUCUCUCUCUCUCUUUUUCUCUCUCCCUCUCUCUCUUUCUCUCUCUCUCUCUCUAUAUAUAUACAGUAUAUAUAAAUAUUUCUGUCCCUCUGUGACUCUGCAUUUCUCUCUCACUGGGCCUCAUGCAGGAAGCCACAUAAGAAACAAUUGCCAAUGUCCUUAUUUUUUGUUUUGUUUUGUUUUUAUUUGGUUAGUUCCCAAGAAGAAAACAUUCACAGUCCACACAUUUUUGUCCAACACAAGGAAAAACACAUGAAUGUAAUAUAAUAAAAGUAAGAUUAUUAUACAUUUUAGAGUAAUGAUAGUUAUAUUGCGUUCAUGGGCAUGUCCCAGAGUAUUUGCACACGGCACAACACCUGCCCUCACAUGUGUUUCGAGGGCAUUACCUAUUCUAACAACAAACAAUCGGCCAUGUGCCUCCAAUUUAUGAUAAAGUAGGAUUCAUCAUUCAGCACACCAGGGUCAGGGAAGAUUUGGAUGGAACGUUUGGUGCAUCUGGAGCUGACUUAACAGCAAAUUAAGAGAAAAUAUAAGAGAGAUGGAAUAGAAUGUUGCUGCAUGAGAAUGAAGUCCACUAUCACUCACUUUUCUCCUCUCCCUUCUAUCUCUGAAUCACUAUAUUUCCAUCUUCCAAUCUCUCUUACUGCUCUCUUUCUCUUUAUCUCUUCUACUCUAUCCCUCUCUCCAUCCUUUCCUGUGCCUGUGUGCAGUAAGCUGUGCAGUGGUCCGUGUAAAAUGCUGAGCUCUCAUUCUCCUUGCUGGAGAGGUGAAGCCCCCAACUCAGCCUUGACUUUCAUAGUUCUCAUCGCUUUAUCUUGGAAUAAACUGUUGCUACAACACGGUAUGCCAAUUUGACUUCAUCGUUGUUAAGACUUUACUGCAGGAAACUGUAUGAACAUGUGUGAAAAUGGCUAAAGUUAACUUCAUACCAUUCACCAUUUCAUUCCCACAGAAACUAGACAUAAAAGAGAAUGAAUCAAUCUUGUAAAUAGAUAAAGACAAUAUAUGAGUUAUUUAGUCCAAUACCAAGAACACUGCAGCAGCCACCACCGCAGUAGCCUACUGCUUACAAUAGUCUGCAGCACGCAUGCAACGCACUAAGCUGUACCAGUGACCACAAGGCAAGGUAUUACAGCAGUUUUUGCCUUAGCUGUCAUACUAUGGUCGUAACACGCGAACCAACCCUCAUCCAGCUGAUCCUGCCGAUAGCGGCUGAGAGAGAUGUGAAACUGUUUCGGCUUCUUGGUAGCUCUUCUGAAAGGCAUUCAAAUCUGUUUAUUAGAGCACUGUGCCAAGUCUCUCUGCAUCGACAUCACCGCGCAACACAACCACACCAGUGUCAAAUAAUUGAGUGAGGGUUAACUAGCGCCGAUGGCCAUUACCAAAACAAAAGCAACAAACUUGCCCUGCCAGAACAGUGCUCCAUCGUGACAGGCUAACCGCAUGAAAACGACGGUCGGUGCGCGAACGCAGCAGGUGAUCUUAAAGCGUGCUACACUUAUUGAACUACAGGAAACCAACGCUGUGACCCACAGCUCCACCUAGAGGCUCAUAGCAGCACUUUCCACAGGAAGGUCAGUGACCAUCGGAGACAGACAGACACCUGGCUGGGGUCACCAUCACGCCCUCAGUAGAUGCUUUACAUGUAGCACAUCCACAAAUAACAGCAACACACAUAAACACGCUUCAGCACUGCUGAUUCUAUUCAGUCAGCAUCCUUUACAGAGGCUGAAUGGCGAGCUGCUCCAGCUGCAGCAGGGGAUCUAUAGAGGCUUUUAUAGAUCAACAGAUUUUUUUCUGGAUGUAAUUGCCUCCCAGCUUGUAGUCAUUCAUGUAUUUAAAAUCUGUUAUGUUUAAUCCAUUAGGCACCAAACCUUCAUUGAACCACCAUCCUCUCAGCAAGUGGCUAAUAAUCAUGUAUAUGAAGUGGGUUGAGAAGACAGCAGCUGUAGCGGUCUAUAAAGCCUACUAGAGUCAACAUACACAGACAUAUACAGGAAACAUUUCAUAUGUUAUACAUGUAUGUAAGCAUCUCCACACUUCGCAAUAUGAAGAACAUCUUGAAAGCUUGAAAAUUAUAUACGUAGCUAUGAUGAUGCUGGGUACUGGAGAGGUGUGGAUGAUCUCCAGGGAGCUCUUAGAGAACAAUGGAUGAAUAUCAGACGAAAACCUUCAUACCUCAGCAGUAGUGUUAUUAAGGCCAGACGUUGUUGUGAAAUAGGUCAGGGUUUCAGCAGCCAAAAAAGAGACUUAUAAAGUUUGCGACAAAUAAAGUCUUUCAACAUGAAUCACGUAUUCAGGCAGCCAUUUCUGCUGUAUGUGUUUUUUAAAUCACUGGUUUUGAUUUAGUUUGCAAUUACUGUUGGAUCAUAUUUUCACAUAACAGUAAAUGCUCUCUAGGAAAUAGUUUCCACUAACACACACACACACACACACACAGAGAGAGGAAAUAGUCACCACCACAUAAAUAUGAAGGUGUCCCAACAGGACUGCUUUUGGCCACAGUGAUGCUGCGUGAGUAAACAAACAUAAUGAGAUUUCAAGGCAGACACACGGGAAGAAGGUGACAGUUUUCUGGAAUGCAGAGAUGGGACAGA